CCAUUAUGGUGUGCAUGUUUUUUACGAUGGUCUGGCACUUGUUAGAAAUGCAUCCCUCUCUUUCUUAACGGGUGGUUAACAGGAAGAAAUCGACGAUAGCCCAUAUACACGACCUUCCUCUGUGUCGUCUAAACAGUAGGUGCUGGCUCGAUAUCUCUUGUUUGUCUGUCGUAAAAGGUUACCCAGCGUAGGCCAAUCAUUGAUGAUUACGAACAACAAUGCUUGUAGGUCAAAGCUCUCUUGUUUAUCCUCAUCCCACACACG
rnacentral:lncRNA from 1 species